rnacentral:rRNA from 1 species
UACGUAGGGUGCAAGCGUUGUCCGGAAUUAUUGGGCGUAAAGAGCUCGUAGGCGGUCUGUCGCGUCUGCUGUGAAAACUCGGGGCUUAACCCCGGGCCUGCAGUGGGUACGGGCAGACUAGAGUGCGGUAGGGGAGACUGGAAUUCCUGGUGUAGCGGUGAAAUGCGCAGAUAUCGGGAAGAACACCCGUGGCGAAGGCGGCUCUCUGGGACGGUACUGACGCUGAGGUGCGAAAGCGUGGGGAGCAAACAGG